GUGUUGUGUGAAGAGAGAGAAGGUUAGCUCUCCCCUGGACUAGGACAGAAGAGGCCCUCAGGCCUGACAACACAGAUAUGCUUAAAGUACAGCCACCUACCCACGGUUUCUCAAAGUUGUGU
ensembl:snRNA